rfam:Erwinia iniecta strain B120 contig000001, whole genome shotgun sequence.
UAACCGGUAUAAAAUCGUAAAGGAUGAGAACCGUAAAGGUUCGGGUCGAGCGAAAGCGAGACAACGUUGCCUCCGGCAACGGCCCGAAGGGCGAGGCCACAGGCCGAGUCAUCCUGCAAGACCCACCA